rnacentral:rRNA from 1 species
AGUCGAACGAACUCUGGUAUUGAUUGGUGCUUGCAUCAUGAUUUACAUUUGAGUGAGUGGCGAACUGGUGAGUAACACGUGGGAAACCUGCCCAGAAGCGGGGGAUAACACCUGGAAACAGAUGCUAAUACCGCAUAACAACUUGGACCGCAUGGUCCGAGCUUGAAAGAUGGCUUCGGCUAUCACUUUUGGAUGGUCCCGCGGCGUAUUAGCUAGAUGGUGGGGUAACGGCUCACCAUGGCAAUGAUACGUAGCCGACCUGAGAGGGUAAUCGGCCACAUUGGGACUGAGACACGGCCCAAACUCCUACGGGAGGCAGCAGUAGGGAAUCUUCCACAAUGGACGAAAGUCUGAUGGAGCAACGCCGCGUGAGUGAAGAAGGGUUUCGGCUCGUAAAACUCUGUUGUUAAAGAAGAACAUAUCUGAGAGUAACUGUUCAGGUAUUGACGGUAUUUAACCAGAAAGCCACGGCUAACUACGUGCCAGCAGCCGCGGUAAUACGUAGGUGGCAAGCGUUGUCCGGAUUUAUUGGGCGUAAAGCGAGCGCAGGCGGUUUUUUAAGUCUGAUGUGAAAGCCUUCGGCUCAACCGAAGAAGUGCAUCGGAAACUGGGAAACUUGAGUGCAGAAGAGGACAGUGGAACUCCAUGUGUAGCGGUGAAAUGCGUAGAUAUAUGGAAGAACACCAGUGGCGAAGGCGGCUGUCUGGUCUGUAACUGACGCUGAGGCUCGAAAGUAUGGGUAGCAAACAGGAUUAGAUACCCUGGUAGUCCAUACCGUAAACGAUGAAUGCUAAGUGUUGGAGGGUUUCCGCCCUUCAGUGCUGCAGCUAACGCAUUAAGCAUUUCCGCCUGGGGAGUACGGCCGCAAGGCUGAAACUCAAAGGAAUUGACGGGGGCCCGCACAAGCGGUGGAGCAUGUGGUUUAAUUCGAAGCUACGCGAAGAACCUUACCAGGUCUUGACAUACUAUGCAAAUCUAAGAGAUUAGACGUUCCCUUCGGGGACAUGGAUACAGGUGGUGCAUGGUUGUCGUCAGCUCGUGUCGUGAGAUGUUGGGUUAAGUCCCGCAACGAGCGCAACCCUUAUUAUCAGUUGCCAGCAUUAAGUUGGGCACUCUGGUGAGACUGCCGGUGACAAACCGGAGGAAGGUGGGGAUGACGUCAAAUCAUCAUGCCCCUUAUGACCUGGGCUACACACGUGCUACAAUGGAUGGUACAACGAGUUGCGAACUCGCGAGAGUAAGCUAAUCUCUUAAAGCCAUUCUCAGUUCGGAUUGUAGGCUGCAACUCGCCUACAUGAAGUCGGAAUCGCUAGUAAUCGCGGAUCAGCAUGCCGCGGUGAAUACGUUCCCGGGCCUUGUACACACCGCCCGUCACACCAUGAGAGUUUGUAACACCCAAAGUCGGUGGGGUAACCUUUUAGGAACCAGCC